rnacentral:rRNA from 1 species
ACACCGGCAGCUCUAGUGGUAGCUGUUUUUAUUGGGCCUAAAGCGUUCGUAGCCGGUUUGAUAAGUCACUGGUGAAAUCCUGUAGCUUAACUGUGGGAAUUGCUGGUGAUACUGUUGAACUUGAGGUCGGGAGAGGUUAGCGGUACUCCCAGGGUAGAGGUGAAAUUCUGUAAUCCUGGGAGGACCACCUGUGGCGAAGGCGGCUAACUGGAACGAACCUGACGGUGAGGGACGAAAGCUAGGGGCGCGAACCGGAUUAGAUACCCGGGUAGUCCUAGCCGUAAACGAUGCGGACUUGGUGUUGGGAUGGCUUUGAGCCGCUCCGGUGCCGAAGGGAAGCUGUUAAGUCCGCCGCCUGGGAAGUACGGUCGCAAGACUGAA